rnacentral:rRNA from 1 species
GAUGAACGCUGGCGGCGUGCCUAAUACAUGCAAGUCGAGCGAACAGAUGAGGAGCUUGCUCCUCCGACGUUAGCGGCGGACGGGUGAGUAACACGUGGAUAACCUACCUAUAAGACUGGGAUAACUUCGGGAAACCGGAGCUAAUACCGGAUAAUAUAUUGAACCGCAUGGUUCAAUAGUGAAAGACGGUUUUGCUGUCACUUAUAGAUGGAUCCGCGCCGCAUUAGCUAGUUGGUAAGGUAACGGCUUACCAAGGCAACGAUGCGUAGCCGACCUGAGAGGGUGAUCGGCCACACUGGAACUGAGACACGGUCCAGACUCCUAGGGGAGGCAGCAGUAGGGAAUCUUACGCAAUGGGCGAAAGCCUGACGGAGCAACGCCGCGUGAGUGAUGAAGGUCUUCGGAUCGUAAAACUCUGUUAUUAGGGAAGAACAAAUGUGUAAGUAACUAUGCACGUCUUGACGGUACCUAAUCAGAAAGCCACGGCUAACUACGUG